rnacentral:rRNA from 2 species
UACAACUUUCAACAACGGAUCUCUUGGCUCUCGCAUCGAUGAAGAACGCAGCGAAAUGCGAUACGUAAUGUGAAUUGCAGAAUUCAGUGAAUCAUCGAAUCUUUGAACGCACCUUGC